rnacentral:rRNA from 1 species
AGCAGCCGCGGUAAUUCCAGCUCCAAUAGCGUAUAUUAAAGUUGUUGCAGUUAAAAAGCUCGUAGUUGAAUUUCGGGAUUAGUACGUUGGUCGUGCCUUCGGUACGUACUGGUGUUACUGAUUCCUACCUUCUGACGAACCAUCAUGUCAUUAAUUUGGUGUGGCGGGGAAUCAGGACUGUUACUUUGAAAAAAUUAGAGUGUUUAAAGCAGGCUCGCGCUUGAAUACAUUAGCAUGGAAUAAUGAAAUAGGACGUUGACCCUAUUUUGUUGGUUUCUAGGAUUGACGUAAUGAUUAAUAGGGAUAGUUGGGGGCAUUAGUAUUCAAUUGUCAGAGGUGAAAUUCUUGGAUUUAUUGAAGACUAACUACUGCGAAAGCAUUUGCCAAGGAUGUUUUCAUUAAUCAAGAACGAAAGUUAGGGGAUCGAAGACGAUCAGAUACCGUCGUAGUCUUAACCAUAAACUAUGCCGACUAGGGAUCGGAUGAUGUUAAUUUUUUAAUGACUCA